rnacentral:rRNA from 1 species
AUUGAACGCUGGCGGCAGGCUUAACACAUGCAAGUCGAGCGAGCGGCGGACGGGUGAGUAAUGUCUGGGAAACUGCCUGAUGGAGGGGGAUAACUACUGGAAACGGUGGAUAAUACCGCAUACUAUAGGAUGAACCCAUAUGGGAUUAGCUAGUAGGGGGGGUAAAGGCUCACCUAGGCGACGAUCUCUAGCUGGUCUGAGAGGAUGAUCAGCCCCACUUGGACUGAGACACGGCCCAGACUCCUACGGGAGGCAGCAGUGGGGAAUAUUGCACAAUGGGCGCAAGCCUGAUGCAGCCAUGCCGCGUGUAUGAAGAAGGCCUUAGGGUUGUAAAGUACUUUCAGCGGGGAGGCGUUACCCGCAGAAGAAGCACCGGCUAACUCCGUGCCAGCAGCCGCGGUAAUUC